CAGGAGCUGCCUUGAUCGCAGUCACGCCCCUUCCUUCCGAGGAGAUUUCUGGCUGCCCAAGCUGGUAGACCCCCUGAUUUAUUCCUCCAUCUCCGCUCCCUUUCGCCUCAUCUUCUCUUAGUUCUCACCGCCUCCUCCACCCCCACCUCCAGUCUGUCUCGCCUCCGACCAUCCGCUGCUCCACCCUCCGGCCCGGUAUCCUGCUUGUCCACUGCCACCAAGGAGAGCCCGGACCGAGCAGCGAGGAGGGGAGCAGCCGGGAGUUGGGGCUUCCCUCCUGCCCAUCCCUGGCCUCCGGCCUGGGACGGAAGCCUCUUGAGCGAGCAGAGUCGUCACCUUGUCUUCGUUGCUUACAGGGAGCUGCAGAGAAGGACAAAUAAGACAACAGAAGUGAAAGAGCUUUUGUCUCCUUAGAAGAAAGGCUGAGAAACUUAAGUCUUUGGAAAGUAAUUUCCUCAAAAUGCAUUUAUCCAGCAUAUUUUAUGUACCAGUUAAUGUUUUAGGUGUUCGGAAGGAUACAAGAGGAAAAUCAUGUGCCCAGCCCAUGCCCUCUCAGAUCUUGCAGUCUAGCAACUUCCAUUUCUGGCUCAACCUAUUACAGUGGUUUCUUCCUGGGUACUUAAAAGCAUAAAAGACAAGAAUUAGCUUUCUUUUUUCUCUCUGCAUUGCAACCAGGGGCUUCUGUCCCUGGAGCAGUGUACCACAAGGUCUAGAUUGAAGGUAUAUGAGGGAAAAGCCAUGCAGGAAAUAAAGGAAUUGCUCUCUCACGCCCACAUUUGCAAAGUACCUGACCUUUGAAUUAUCACUUUUUUUAGGGGUCUAUCCUUACUUUCAUCCUUAGUUCUGUUCUGUCCCUACUCCUAUAUGAUCUGGCCCGCUCUCUGACCUUAGCUCUUAUCCAUUGGUUAAUAACUUCCAAAGAUAUAGCUCAACCUACAUUUGACUCUUCUCUUUCCAACCUUCCCAGCAUUGGUUAUCAGAUUCCAUGUCUCCUACUCAACUCAGGGGGUUUUUGUUCCCCUCUGGGAAGCUUUGGUCAAGUGGCCCAGAGUUUUUGCAGAGUCCUCUGCAUUGCCAGAGCGUUCUUCUCAUACCUCUGGUUUCCUAUUGGAUUGGGUGCCCUCAGCUUGACUGGAAGCACCUUGAGGACUGGACUCUUUUAUUUCCCGUUUUUUUUCCACCCUAGGGCCUGUGCAGUGCCUGGCUAUAGUAAGUGCUGAAUAAACAUAUGUGGAAAAUAUGGUGCGAUAAGUAUUGUCUUAGAGAUGUAUACAAAGUCCAGUUGGAAAACAGAAGAGAGAGUAAAUUUUCUCUGUUGAGCAGGGUUGGGGUCAGGGGGAAGGUGGAGAAGGGUCAGGGAAAAAUCUUCAAGGAGAAGGUGGAGAGCAGAACAGCCCUCUUCUGAGAGUUCUGACUAAACAGCUCAGGAAAGAAAUGCUUGUUGUGUCUGCUCUUGCUAAGCCAGGGGCAUCUCUGGCCGUUUGCCUCCCCGGCCUCAGGACUGGAUGACUUUUACAGUCGGAUCUGCAAAUAAACCACUGUCUAUAACACACUGACCAUUUAAGACAGGUGCCACUUAGUCAUAUAAUAUUAAGCAAGGCUGACCUUAAAUGUGCCUCCUUAACUGUGGUUGAAAAUAGAGGUACAUACACAGGCUCAUUUGGUCAUAUAUGCUUAAUUCUAUACAGCCAGCUACCCUUGGAAACUUAUUGAAGAUUGGUUCUAAAAAUGAGGAAAUUUAAUUCUCAGAAUGUAGCAGAUUAGGUCACUAGAACUGAAUGUCUUCGAGCUGACUGUUGGAUCUUUCCAAGGGCAAAAAUGAAACAUGAUAUAAGCCAUUACAGGCCAUGAACCUGUUCUCACCCACCUGAUGCUUUUACUAAUUAGCUUCUUGGCCGGGUGGCAAUUUGGGGCAAGUGCAUGCAAGCUGGAUUCACAGGGGAGCCCACAUUCCACUCUGCCAUUUCACAAGCCACUAGGAUACUACACUGCUUCUCUUGGCUUCUUUCCCUCCCAGGAGUCCUGAUCGGCCCUGGUGGAAAAAUGGGAGCAAGAGAACUUUUCAUUAAAUGAAGGAGAGAUUUCAUGGGGCUUUGGUGUUUUGUUAGUUUUCUUUCUUUUUAAAGUGGGUUGUCUGAAAACAUUCAUGUUCCUUGACCCAUUAAUUUCACUUCUGGGAUUCUAUCAUUAGGAAAUAAUCCAAAAUAUUGAAAGAAAAAGGCUAAAUCACAAAGAUGUUUUUGUAACAUUAUUUAGACUAGCAGAAAAUUGAAAGCAAUUUAAAUGUCUCAAUAAUUGGAGAAUAGGUUAGUGAAUCUUGAUACACUCAUUUCAUGGACUAUUACACAGCCAUUGCAGUGUUUGCUAGGAACUCUAUGCCACAACAUGGACAAAGUGCUUAUGAUUAAGUGAAAUGUAGGAUCCAAAAUGAUAUGUACCUUAAUAUUUCAUUGCUUUGUAAAUACACAAAAACACAUCGAAAGAAAGCUAGAGGAAAUAUUCUAUAAUGCUUACAGUGCUUGGGUUGAGGUACUGGGGUUAUGAGUGUUUUUUUUUUUUUCUCUCUUUGUUAUAAAGAUUUGCAUGUUUUGCUUAUAUUACUAUAAAAUAAAGUAAAAAUAAAAGUGGGUAGUAUGUCACUGAAGACAGGAGGUUGGUAAAGUGGGCAGCUUCUAGGUAUAUCCUUCAAUUCUUCUCUGUUUACACUCAAUCUGAUUACAUGGACAGCUUCUACUUUUUCUGAGGCAAGAAGAAAUGGGAGGUGAUAGUGUGAUCUCUUCUUCCCUUGGAAUGGAAUGUGUGUAGAGGGAGAUGGGGCUGGUGGCAAUAGGAUUCUCCUUCUUACUCAGUAUUUCACUGCUCAUGUACACUUUAGGGUGAUUCACCUGUCGCCUAUGAACAGGUUCAAGUUGAGUGAGUACAGAAGAGUAGAACUGCCAUGAAAUUGACCAUGUGUUUGAGUUGCCAUCUGAGAAACAAAUAACUGACACUGAUCCUAAGAUUUGGAAAUGCCAAGGACUUAACUGUGGUUCUUAAAAUGAUUUUCCAGCCUAACCUAGAUAAAAGUAGAGAUAGGAGCAAAGAGGUGGGGCCAACUCAAAGCUUGUUGUUGAGCUGGGGCUAGACUUAAAUAAGGGCAAGUGCCAAGUGGUAUGAUGUUGACAAGACCUAGAGCGGGGGCCUGGAAACGUUGGUCAGUUAAGGUUCCUACUGCUAGCCAACCUUCCUGCAUUUUGUGGCCUAAAGAGGAGAGAUUUUGCAAGGUCCUUCUCCAUACUCCUCUUAUGUCUUUGAAUUUUCCCUCCCGCCAUUAACGAUUUAUUUCCAGUGGAAUUGGAAAACUGGUGGUAGCAUUAAGCCAGGUUUAUAAUCUCUUAAAACCACAGUCAAUUCAAUUUAAUAAAUGUUUAUUAAGCAUCUUCUAUGUACAAGUUAAUAUGCUAGAUAAUAUACUGUAGUGGAAGUGUUCUUACCCUGGGAGUAAUAAAACCUGCCUUCUGGAGUUCCCAUGGUGGCUCAGCAGUAACGAACCUGACUGUUAUCCACGAGGGUGUGGGUUCGAUCUCUGGCCUCGCUCAAUGGGUUAAGGAUUCAGCAUUGUUGUGAGCUGUGGUGUAGGUUGCAAUUGCGGCUCGGAUCUGGUGUUGCUGUGGCUAUGGUGUAGGCCAGCAGCUGCAGCUCUGAUUGACCCCUAGCCUGGGAACUUCCAUAUGCCACGGGGUGUGGCCCUAAAAAGCCAAACAAACACUCCUCCCCCCCCACCUUCUGGUCCUGGCUUCCACCACUUUUAAGUUCUGGCAUCUUCAUUUAUAGAAAGAGAGGGUUGGACCACUAGAUGGUCUCCCAAGAGUCUUUCUGGUUCUGGCCUUUACUUUUCUAAGGACACCUGCAUGGAAGACUGAGUUACUAAUAAAGGGUUU
ensembl:lncRNA